CCGUAAGAGCUCGUAGGCGGUUUGUCGCGUCUGGUGUGAAAACUCAAGGCUCAACCUUGAGCUUGCAUCGGGUACGGGCAGACUAGAGUGCGGUAGGGGUGACUGGAAUUCCUGGUGUAGCGGUGGAAUGCGCAGAUAUCAGGAGGAACACCGAUGGCGAAGGCAGGUCACUGGGCCGCAACUGACGCUGAGGAGCGAAAGCAUGGGGAGCGAACAGGAUUAGAUACCCUGGUAGUCCAUGCCGUAAACGUUGGGCACUAGGUGUGGGGCUCAUUCCACGAGUUCCGUGCCGCAGCAAACGCAUUAAGUGCCCCGCCUGGGGAGUACGGCCGCAAGGCUAAAACUCAAAGGAAUUGACGGGGGCCCGCACAAGCGGCGGAGCAUGCGGAUUAAUUCGAUGCAACGCGAAGAACCUUACCAAGGCUUGACAUACACCGGAAACUUCCAGAGAUGGUUGCCCCGCAAGGUCGGUGUACAGGUGGUGCAUGGUUGUCGUCAGCUCGUGUCGUGAGAUGUUGGGUUAAGUCCCGCAACGAGCGCAACCCUCGUCUUAUGUUGCCAGCACGUCAUGGUGGGGACUCAUAAGAGACUGCCGGGGUCAACUCGGAGGAAGGUGGGGAUGACGUCAAAUCAUCAUGCCCCUUAUGUCUUGGGCUUCACGCAUGCUACAAUGGCCGGUACAAAGGGCUGCGAUACCGCGAGGUGGAGCGAAUCCCAAAAAGCCGGUCUCAGUUCGGAUUGGGGUCUGCAACUCGACCCCAUGAAGUCGGAGUCGCUAGUAAUCGCAGAUCAGCAACGCUGCGGUGAAUACGUUCCCGGGCCUUGUACACACCGCCCGUCAAGUCACGAAAGUCGGUACACCCGAAGCCGGUGGUCCAACCCUUUGUGAGGGAGCUGUCGAAGUGGGACUGGCGAUUGGGACUAAGUCGUACCAAGGUAGCCAA
rnacentral:rRNA from 1 species